CCCUACGGGACGCAGCAGUGGGGGAUAUUGCACAAUGGGGGGAACCCUGAUGCAGCGACGCCGCGUGGGUGAAGAAGCGCCUCGGCGCGUAAAGCCCUGUCAGCAGGGAAGAAAAUGACGGUACCUGAAGAAGAAGCCCCGGCUAACUACGUGCCAGCAGCCGCGGUAAUACGUAGGGGGCAAGCGUUAUCCGGAUUUACUGGGCGUAAAGGGGGCGCAGACGGCGAUGCAAGCCAGGAGUGAAAGCCCGGGGCCCAACCCCGGGACUGCUCUUAGAACUGCGUGGCUGGAGUGCUGGCGGGGCG
rnacentral:rRNA from 1 species